UUAAUCAUUAUAACUAACCAAACAAAAACUUGCCAAAACUACUCCUCUUUUUGUGGGCUACGUAAUUUUGAAAAUCCCUAAUUUGUCUGCACUAAUCACAAAACAACCUCACCACAUCUUCACGAUCUCAAAGUCGUUGAAACCGUUUAUCGUCCUCCACAUAUUUAUUUCACGAGGAACUCAAACUCUUAUUUUUGCUCUUUGAAAUUUUGAUUCCUUAAACUCUCUCCCCAACGCCUCAUAACCGUUUCUUCUCACGGCGACUGUAAUGCAGUGGAGCUGUCGCUUAUAUUUCCCGAGAUAUAUGUCUCGGUCUGCUCUGUCUGCGAUUCUCUCACAAAAUGAGCCUCCUCCAAUUCCCACUGUAUAGUCGUCAGCGACAAGUUCCUACGCCACCCACUCCCGGUAUACGAGUACAUCCACUAGAGAUUGGAUUCGAUCUAUUUUCCAUGAACAUCAGUAUAUUUGGAGAUCCCGAACAAAGGAAAAGUAACUAUUGCUAGGUAUUUUUUUGUGGAGGUUAUAAGGUCAAAGGGAGUGAGACUGGAUGGAUACCAAGAAAGAAGUCAAGAAGCAUAGAGCAAAGACUUAAGCUACGUGAGGAAAAGACGGUGGCAAAAUGAGAGCAACGAUUAAGAAGGUGACUAUAAAAUUCAACAAAAAGUCUCCAUAAAUAUGGAGUAGGAAACCAAGAAGAAGUCCAACGAUGUCAGAUUAGAAAGGAUUCUUUCACUGAAAGCAAUGGUAACAGCACCAAAGAUGACGUUUAAACCCACAAGGAUUACUUGAAUACUUCUGAUGGAAAUCCAUUGUGCAUCAAGAGAAAUGUUGGGUCUGUGACUCAUAUAUGAGAAUGAGACACUACGACAUCUUGCUCAAAGACACAUACGUUGGUACUAAUUAUUGCCCUUUUAUUCUCAUAUUCUCUGACUUUUCUACUAAUUACAAAUUGUAUUCUUUUGUUGUCGGCUUACAAAGUGAGUAAAACACAAUCAGCCCAAAGAUAGCCAAAAAAUGAUUUCAUGUUCAGUUAUUUUAAAUAAACAAAUCAUGUUGUAACUGCAUAUAUAUCUAUCGAUCACGUAUUCAUCA